rnacentral:lncRNA from 1 species
AUUCACCCACAUGGUCCUUCGAGGUGCCGCCGCCGCCGCCCGACCUGCGCCUUCGCGCCACUUCGCGCCCUCGGGCGAGGCCGAGGGGGUGGGGACGACUACCGCAGCGCCGCCGGGGCUCGCGCUCCUCCGCGAAGCUCUCCUCGCGGGGCGGGCCGGCCGGCCGCACCCCCGGCCUGGGGCCUCCGGUCGUAGUAAAGCGCAGGCGGGCGGGGAGGCGGGAGCAGGAGCCCGCGGCCGGCCAGCCGAAGAUGGUGGCGGCUACUCCUCCUGUCAUACACGUGGACCUAACUGCACCAGUAGCUUUUCUGAGAAUACUUGCUGAAAAGGAAGUUUUCUGGAAUGGUAUUUGCUAAGUGGAAGCCAGAAGAGGAGGAAAAUGUUUUGCCACGUGGAUGUGAAGAUUUCCUCUAAAAGGCAGACCUGUCUAACUACAAGCCAGACUUGGGUUUUCUCCUGUAGUUUGAAGACACACUGACUCCUGACAAAAUGCAGCCUGCAACUUCCUGGAGAACAACUCAGUGUCACAUUAAAGUUUAUUAUGUAUUUAAUGAUACACUGUUUAAUUGACAGUUUUGCAUAGUUUGUCUAACUUUAGAGAAUUAAGAGCCUCUCAACUGAGCAGUAAAGGUAAGGAGAGCUCAAUCUGCACAGAGCCAGUUUUUAGUGUUUGAUGGAAAUAAGAUCAUCAUGCCCACUUGAGACUUCAGAUUAUUCUUUAGCUUAGUGGUUGUAUGAGUUACAUCUUAUUAAAGUCGAAAUUAAUGUAGUUUUCUGCCUUGAUAACAUUUCAUAUGUGGUAUUAGUUUUAAAGGGUCAUUAGGAAAAUGCACAUAUUCCAUGAAUUUUAAGACCCAUAGAAAAGUUGAAGAAUGCUUAAUUUUCUUAUCCAGUAAUGUAAACACAGAGACAGAACAUUGAGAUGUGCCUAGUUCUGUAUUUACAGUUUGGUCUGGCUGUUUGAGUUCUAGCGCAUUUAAUGUUAAUAAAUAAAAUACUGCAUUUUAAAGCUGUUAAGAAAUUGUCCAGAACGAGAAUAUUGAAAUAAAAACUUCAAGGUUAUU